AUCUCCAAUAGCGUAUAUUAAAGUUGUUGCAGUUAAAAAGCUCGUAGUUGGAUUUCUGGUAGGAGUGACCGUUCCGAACUUGAUUGUUCGUGUAUUGUGUUUUCUCCAGCCAUCCUUGUGGAGAACUUUUCUUGCAUUAAUUUGUAGGGAUUGGGACCCGCAUCGUUUACUGUGAAAAAAUUAGAGUGUUUAAAGCAUGCAAUCGCUUGAAUACAUUAGCAUGGAAUAAUAAGAUAGGACUUUGGUACUAUUUUGUUGGUUUGCAUACCAAAUUAAUGAUCAACAGGAACAGUUUGAGGAUAUUCGUAUGAACAUGUCAGAGGUGAAAUUCUUGGAUUUUGAUCAGACGAACUACUGCGAAAGCGUUUAUCAAGGAUGUUUUCAUUAAUCAAGAACGAAA
rnacentral:rRNA from 1 species